UACAGAGGUCCCAAGCGUUGUUCGGAUUUACUGGGCGUAAAGCGCACGUAGGCGGGUUGUUAAGUCAGGGGUGAAAUCCUGGAGCUCAACUCCAGAACUGCCUUUGAUACUGGCAACCUAGAGGCUGGAAGAGGUUAGUGGAAUUCCCAGUGUAGAGGUGAAAUUCGUAGAUAUUGGGAAGAACACCAGUGGCGAAGGCGGCUAACUGGUCCAGAUCUGACGCUGAGGUGCGAAAGCGUGGGGAGCAAACAGG
rnacentral:rRNA from 1 species